rnacentral:rRNA from 1 species
CGCUGGCGGCGUGCUUAACACAUGCAAGUCGAACGAAGAGCGAUGGAAGCUUGCUUCUAUCAAUCUUAGUGGCGAACGGGUGAGUAACGCGUAAUCAACCUGCCCUUCAGAGGGGGACAACAGUUGGAAACGACUGCUAAUACCGCAUACGAUCUGACCUCGGCAUCGAGGAUAGAUGAAAGGUGGCCUCUACGUGUAAGCUAUCACUGAAGGAGGGGAUUGCGUCUGAUUAGCUAGUUGGAGGGGUAACGGCCCACCAAGGCGAUGAUCAAUAGCCGGUCUGAGAGGAUGAACGGCCACAUUGGGACUGAGACACGGCCCAGACUCCUACGGGAGGCAGCAGUGGGGAAUCUUCCGCAAUGGACGAAAGUCUGACGGAGCAACGCCGCGUGAGUGAUGACGGCCUUCGGGUUGUAAAGCUCUGUUAAUCGGGACGAAAGGCCUUUUUGCGAAUAGUGAGAAGGAUUGACGGUACCGGAAUAGAAAGCCACGGCUAACUACGUGCCAGCAGCCGCGGUAAUACGUAGGUGGCAAGCGUUGUCCGGAAUUAUUGGGCGUAAAGCGCGCGCAGGCGGAUCAGUCAGUCUGUCUUAAAAGUUCGGGGCUUAACCCCGUGAUGGGAUGGAAACUGCUGAUCUAGAGUAUCGGAGAGGAAAGUGGAAUUCCUAGUGUAGCGGUGAAAUGCGUAGAUAUUAGGAAGAACACCAGUGGCGAAGGCGACUUUCUGGACGAAAACUGACGCUGAGGCGCGAAAGCCAGGGGAGCGAACGGGAUUAGAUAUCCCGGUAGUUCUGGCCGUAAACGAUGGGUAAUAGGUGUAGGAGGUAUUGACCCCUUCUGUGCCGGAGUUAACGCAAUAAGUACCCCGCCUGGGGAGUACGACCGCAAGGUUGAAACUCAAAGGAAUUGACGGGGGCCCGCACAAGCGGUGGAGUAUGUGGUUUAAUUUGACGCAACGCGAAGAGACCUUACCAGGUCUUGACCUUGAUGGACAGAACUAGAGAUAGUUUCUUUUUUUUGGAAGCCAGAAAACAGGUGGUGCACGGUUGUUGUCAGCUUGUGUCGUGAGAUGUUGGGUUAAGUCCCGCAAAGAGCGCAACCCCUAUCUUAUGUUGUCAGCACGUAAUGGUGGGAACUCAUGAGAGACUGCCGCAGACAAUGCGGAGGAAGGCGGGGAUGACGUCAAAUCAUCAUGCCCCUUAUGACCUGGGCUACACACGUACUACAAUGGGAGUUAAUAGACGGAAGCGAGAUCGCGAGAUGGAGCAAACCCGAGAAACACUCUCUCAGUUCGGAUCGUAGGCUGCAACUCGCCUACGUGAAGUCGGAAUCGCUAGUAAUCGCAGGUCAGCAUAUUGCGGUGAAUACGUUCCCGGGCCUUGUACACACCGCCCGUCACACCACGAAAGUCGGAAGUGCCCAAAGCCGGUGGGGUAACCUUCGGGAGCCAGCCGUCUAAGGUAAAGUCGAUGAUUGGGGUGAA